GCUGAUGUGGAUGCUUCGGGAACUUGUUCAGUGUUUGGAGACGAGGUGGGAUGAAAAGCACUCAUCUCUAACCACUCUGCCGUGGUGGGAUGCUCUCACCGCGAGCCAUGUGUGGGAGAUAAGCAGAUCAAGGGAACUGCAGGUUCCUAGCCUCCGUCCUGUGUUCACUCCGAGGCAUAAAACACUGUGAGCCUAUGUUUAGUAUUUAUUGAAAUGGCUAAUUCUCGUGCCCAGCGCAUGCAGUCGAAGUACUGCAAUUGCUUUAUAUCUGGCCACCAUGCUUCUGCUGCCCUUUCAAUCUGGUUUCAACUCUGCACAGAGAGGUCCCAUUAAAAAAUAAGUUUGGUCUUGACACUCUUUUGUUCAGAAUCCACCAAUGAUUUUUCGUCUCAUGAACACUAAAAACCAAGUGCUACAAUGCAAGAUCCUACGUGAUCUGGCCCCCCUUUACCUUGCUGACCCAUCUAUUCUUUCUCUCCUCAUUCACUCUGCUAUAUUCCCACUAUCCUCAUUCCUAAAAGACCAGGCAUAUUCCCACCCCAGGGCCUUUGCAUUUGCUGUUUCCUCUGCCUGAAAAAUUGUACCCCUGAUGCAUACAUGGUUAGCUCCCUCAAUUCUUUCAGGUCUUUCCUCUCCAAAGUCACUUUCACACAAUGGCCCCUUCCCUGACCAUCCUGCCUACAGUUUCAACCCGGCCCCCACUGCUGAACUCAUCAAAUCCCUGUUCCCUGCUUUGGUUUACUGAUAUGCUCUACCUGACUGCUCUAUUUUAUUUUUCUCGUGUUGGUACUCUUUCCCCCUACACUAGAAUGAAAGAUCCAUGAAGACGGAGCUUUCGAUUGUUUUGUUUACUACUGUAUCCUCUGUGCCUAAAGCACUGCUUGGCACAUUUGUUAAGUCACUUGUUAAGUGAAUAAAUGAAAGAAAGUUAAGUGCAUAUAUGAUACAAAAUCACCGUAGCAACGGCCAGUUCAAGGCUUUCAGUUGGUGUAUCAUUAGAAUAGUUCCUAGAUUUCCUCCCAAGACACAUAUUUUCUUUACACGAAGCUUUUCACUACUGCAUCUUUUCCCCAGAUAAUAAACUGUUGGGAUUGUACGACAUUGCAGCUAACAUCUCUGAGUUUCACGGUUUUCUUUUUUAAGUAGAAAAACAGAAACAUUAGAACAGGUCUCUUCCAGAGCUGUGACUUAGAGAUUCUCAGGAGCUAUAAAAAUGGUUCUCCAAGCUGGUGCCCGGGAAGCUUCAUCAAUACAGAGGAUCCAGGCCUCAUUGCUGAAAUUCCGCUUGAGUGAAGCUAGGAGGGUGUUGGGAAUCUAUAUUUCUACAAAGCUCUCCAGGUAAUUCUGAUGAUCAGCCAGGCUUUUGCAAUUGAAUUUCUGCUCAGCUACAAUAGUGAAUUAAGCUUUUGGCUAAAUCCUAAAAGGUAGGCCAGAAAUCUCCCAGGCAAGCCUCUUCUUGACCAGGCAGCAAUACACACAGUGGGGGAAGAGAGAUCACAUCUAAUAUACUCUGUACGCCCCUCCCUUGUUAUCUGACGUGGCUCUGCCUGUAAACAUUAUUAGCUUACUGCAUGCAUCCACGGUCCUCAAGGCUCCCGCUCCUCCUCUAAUUAGCUUAAAUCUCAGCAGCAUCUUGCCAGUUCUAACUUGGCUGAAUUAUCUCCAGAAUAUCCAGAGACAAUGAUGACUGUUUAGAGGAACUUGUUCUCAUUGGAGAUAACAGGAAACCAGCUUUGUCACCCAUUAUUACGCGCUGUUAAGGAGGACACACAAUUUAUGCUUUAAAGGGAGAUUACUGGAAGAAGAGCCUGAAGACACUGUGUCAGGCUGUUGAAUGCUCUCCUGAAGACCAAUCCAACAGCAGAUGUAUCACCUGACUUUCACUGCCAAGGAUGAUAUAUGUUCCACGAAUGCACACGGAUGGAAGGCAUGUGAAAACCGGGGGUGAUGAUGAAUAAAUUGGGCAGAAGAAGUUUCCAGAAACAUCUGGUGGCAAGUCUGAUUUUUCAGAGGAUGCUGGUCCCCCUCAUCACAAAACACAGAAGUCUCUCAACCAGGGGUUGAAAAUGAAAAUUCCUGCAUUGGCCAGUCAGCUGAAUGUAAGUGAGUAAAGGGGGCCAGUGAAGAUGGUCGUGAACUCUGGUACACACACCCCAUUGGAAGGAGGCUGCCACAUGGCUCUAGCCAUUCCUCCCUGUGCGUGAAAAAAAUAAAAAUUUGAAUUGCUAAAAUGCAAAAUCUCUGGAUAUUUCAACUUUGAGGAACAAUUCUAGGCAAACUUUUGACUAGUUUUAUUAAAACAACAAUUUAAAAGCCUUACCAAGAUGGAAUCAAACAUUGAAAGCCCAAACGGAUGCAAAACAUUGGUUCUAACACUUUAAGUGUGCACAAGAACUGUGUGGAAGCUUACUAAACAUGUGGAUUCUAGACCCUCCCCAGAGAUUCCGAGUCAGUGCAUCUGGGAUGGGCCCAGGAUUCUGAGUUUGUCUCUCUCCUUCAAAGUAAUUUUGAUGCAGAUUGACCUCAGGCUCAUUCUUUGAAACCCUCUGUCUUAAAAGAUAUAGAAUGAAGGAUUGGACAGAACUUUUUAGGUGUUAACUGGUAGCUAGUAAAGGGGAUCAGAACAUGCCACCCCAAAAUAUGCUGCUUUGGCAUAUUGAUUAUUUUGAGAAACGGCAGAUGCAGUAACAGCUCUCUGCCUUCUCCGUUUCCUGCUAAAAGCGGAACAUAAAUUUCCAGUAAGAAAGAUGCCCUCCCUGUACCAGAAAGAGAACAUUCUUUUCACUGGUCACAGGCCGUGGAUGCCAAGAUGAAUCUAUGCAAACAAAGCUUACUAAAUAACCUUUCUCUUCCGUUCGUUUCUCCCAAAUAUUUACCUUCCUACAAUUUGCUACUCCUAGAAACCCACACUCCUUUUCCUUUGUCUCCAAUUUAUUGCCCUUUGUUAAAAUGGUGUUUAAGCUCUUGGGCUUAACCACUUUGUUGGGGUGUUCAUUUCAUUCCUAUGGAGCCCCCUAUGUUACAUAAAAAUAGUAACAUCAAAUAAAUUUGUAUGCUUU